ACUUUCUCCGUUUGUUUUGCGCUCACCCGUUGGGCUGCAGCUUGUUUGUAUGCGCCCUAGUUCCCGUUAUAAAACCCUUUUUCUUUUCCUCAAACAUGGCACCGGCUUCACAUGUUUAAGGUGGCUAAUAUGCAGCCGUAACACAUGCCCUAUAUUCAUGCACUUCCUUUUUAAAAUAUAUUGGCUCAAAAAACUGAUUUACCUAACUUUUUCCUAUGUGUGAACGAAUGGAGCAUGCAUCUUCAAUUUCAGCUGAGAACAUAUUCAGUUGAAUUCCACAUGGAUGCAAUCAGGAAAAAUAAAUUCAUGCAUUGAUUUAACCGGCAACUAUGAAGCCCCUAAGGGGACAUGGGUCCGGUUCGCGCUACUGACCGGACAAUGGAUGGUCCGGUUCUGGAUGGAAGAAGUUCACAGCACUAAAUAAACUAAAGUGGCUUCCUUCCAUCUGUUCAAGUCAAAGAACCGCCUGGAGUGAAGUUCAUGCUACUUUACCGUACCAUUGUUGUUUUCUGUGUUAGACGCAGCUGCAAUCGUCACUUCCGUGUUUUCAGAUUACAACUGGAGAAUUUAUGGACGCUACACUAGUUAGCAAUAGCAACAGGUAGCCCAAUUUAUAUCUCUCUCUCUCGCUAGCUGAUGAGAUAGAUCACUAAAAUAUGCAGCUGCUCCAUGUUUGCUGUCGUGACAAUGACCCAGAACUACUGUGGUGUAAUUUGUACAUGUUUAUUUUUGGGGAGAAUGCAAAUGUUUUGCGAGACCACGCAAGAGAGGAUGCAAAUGUGUUGUGAGAUCUCUUAAAAGUUUUGUGAGAGAACACAAAGAUUUUGCGAGAUCUUGCGAAGGUAUUUCUGUUUUCCUACUCAUGUUCCUUUGGGGGCUCCAUAGGCAAGAGCUCACUUUACUUAGUUAAAUGUAGAGUUUAAACAUGCACUGCACAAACUCGGAUCUCCCAAGAUUAAGAA